ACGCCUAUGGCACACAAUCACAAAGUCUCCUCUACUGGGGCCUCAUAAAGAACCCUAAUUUCAGCAAUAGUGGCCUCGAUAGUGGUUGAGGUGCUCAUGUUAAUGUGGGCCCCGAUGAUGGCUGGUGCACUCAAUGGUGGAAUAUAAUUGAUGUCUAAUAUAGAACCCCCGCUCAUAUCAACAACACCAUCAACCAUUAUAUCACCUAUUUGGG
rnacentral:lncRNA from 1 species